UGCCUGACUGUCGCCUGUCUUUCUGUCUCUCCCUCCUUCUGUGUGUGUGUGUGUGUCUGCCUGUCUGCCGCCUAUCUGUCUGUCUCUCCAUUUUCUCUCUCUCUCUCUCCCUCCUUCCCUCCCCCCCCUCUGUUUCUGUAUUGGUCUCUGUCUGUCUCUCCCUCCUUUUCUCUGUGGUUGUUUGUCUGUGAGUCUUUGUCUGUCUGUUUCUCUCUCUCUCUCUCUCUCUCUCUCUGUUUCUGUCUCUCCUUCCUUCUCUGUGUGUGUUUCAUGUUAGCAACUUUUCUGUAUAAGCAUUUAUUUCCUGUUAUAAGAAAAGACCCUUCUUUCACAGUGUAAUUCAAAGGAAUGUCAAGGAAGCCAGGAUGAGCAGAUAAGAAAACAGAAGCCACGAGCACUGUCCAUUUCUGGCCUGUGGGAAAACUAAACUAAAUGCUGGAAGAAAGGAGGGGGAGUUAUGGAGAAGCCAUGUAGACCUGCUGAAGACAGAUUCUGGAACUUUACCUGGGAAAGGUUUAAUGGAGUUUAUUGUUAAAGAAAAUGAAGAGAUCACUUUCUUCCCAAAGUCGAAAUAAUUUGAAAUAAACAUGCUAGGUUAUUUCUGCGCUUGCUUCUGAAGAAUUUGUCAGCUGAAAAUAGUUUAGCGUUUUCCUUUUAUGAAAGACGUCAUCUAUUUGCACAUAUUUCCAGCAGGUCGUGCUGAUCAAGUGGCCCUUGGCAGGACUAUUUGGUAUUUCCUUGUGAGGAUUCUGUUUCUUUUGUUGCCCUUUUAGCUUCUGGUCAUGGUCAGAGGAAACUGACAGAAAUAUCAUGAACUCAGCUCUGCCACCUCUUCUCAGAUACCCUCUCACCAAGACCACACAUGCACUUUGGAGAAAGUACUAUAGAAAAACAUUGGAACUGAAAUAAAGAUGGUUACUUUCUUUGUGGGAGUGUUUUCGAAGUGGUAUCUGUUCUGGACGAUAGCAAUUUUAGUAACAGCAAUUUAACGGCUCUUUUUGUAAACCGAUGUGAAUAACCGAACACUUUCUAAA